rnacentral:rRNA from 1 species
CCCUAUGGGGUGCUGCUUAAGGCGUAUGUCUCUUUUUCAGUUUCUGUAUUCCAAUUGAGAUUUGUUAUCGUUGCACAUACAAACACCCCGUUUCUGCCGAUGACGGGGUGUUUGUCAUUAAACUGAUAAACCCGCAAGGGUGCUGGGUAAAGAAAUUCAGCGGAAGAAUCGCCGAAAGCUUCUUUUACGGUACGAACUUCGGCCGCCCAUACAGGUUGAAUAAAGGCUUCUCUAUGAUCUUGCCGGUCAUCUGAUUCCGGACUUCGUGAAGGUUCAGCUUGCUGAGUUGGAUCCCAUACGCGCCGCCCACCGCCUCGAGGGUCCACUGGCUCCCCAAAUACAUUCCCAUAUGAGGGAUGCCGCCGCUCGUCUUCCGGAAUACGCAGUCCGCAGGGCGCAGCGACUUUUUAUCGAUAUUGUUGCAAUAGUGCCGGUAAAUUGAAUUGGCGGGAGAGC